rnacentral:rRNA from 1 species
GCCCAGACUCCUACGGGAGGCAGCAGUGGGGAAUAUUGCACAAUGGGGGGAACCCUGAUGCAGCGACGCCGCGUGAGCGAUGAAGUAUUUCGGUAUGUAAAGCUCUAUCAGCAGGGAAGAAAAUGACGGUACCUGACUAAGAAGCCCCGGCUAACUACGUGCCAGCAGCCGCGGUAAUACGUAGGGGGCAAGCGUUAUCCGGAUUUACUGGGUGUAAAGGGAGCGUAGACGGCUGUGCAAGUCUGGAGUGAAAGGCAUGGGCUCAACCUGUGGACUGCUUUGGAAACUGUGCGGCUUGAGUGUCGGAGAGGCAAGUGGAAUUCCUAGUGUAGCGGUGAAAUGCGUAGAUAUUAGGAAGAACACCAGUGGCGAAGGCGGCUUUCUGGACUGAAACUGACGCUGAGGCACGAAAGCGUGGGGAGCGAACAGGAUUAGAUACCCCUGUA